ACACAGGUGCUGCAUGGCUGUAGUCAGCUCGUGUCGUGAGAUGUUGGGUUAAGUCCCGCAACGAGCGCAACCCUUGUCCUUAGUUGCCAGCACGUAAUGGUGGGAACUNUAAGGAGACCGCCGGUGACAAACCGGAGGAAGGUGGGGAUGACGUCAAGUCAUCAUGGCCCUUACGGCCAGGGCUACACACGUACUACAAUGGUAGGGACAGAGGGCUGCAAACCCGCGAGGGCAAGCCAAUCCCAGAAACCCUAUCUCAGUCCGGAUUGGAGUCUGCAACUCGACUCCAUGAAGUCNGAAUCGCUAGUAAUCGCAGAUCAGCANUGCUGCGGUGAAUACGUU
rnacentral:rRNA from 1 species